UAGGGUGUAGCUCAUAGGUAGAGCCCUUGCCUAGUACGUGUGAGGCCCUAGGUUCCAUCCCUAGCAUUUCAA
rnacentral:tRNA from 1 species